rnacentral:misc_RNA from 1 species
CCAGCUUCAAUUUCAAAAUGUAAAACUCUAUGAUGAUUAUACCAACGAAAACGAUAUAAAGAUAGAAAAAUGUACAAAUUACUACGUUCCGUUUAACGAAGUAAUAGAUGUUGAAGCACGUUGUGUCGAAUUAUAUAGCUGAAGACAGUGGACAUUGGAGGGAGUGGAUAAACGCGUUAGUCGAGUAUUUUAUGUUCCAUGAAACAGGAUAACCAUCGGGUAUUUACGUUGCGUACCUUACCAAGGACGACCAUCAAUAAAAAUACGAUGUUAAUGCUGUAACAAGGUUUACGUUUGGAAAUCUUAUAAUUUACCCAUAUCGAUAUAUGUACAAUAAAUAAAUCAAUCAAAAAGUGAAUAAACUUUCUCAAUUAAAGGACCUUUAGAAAAUUGAAUAGAUAUCUACGUAAUCAUAAUCAUAAUCAAAUAAUAGAUACUAAUUAU